GACGAACGCUGGCGGCGUGCUUAACACAUGCAAGUCGAACGGAAAGGCCCUGCUUUUGUGGGGUGCUCGAGUGGCGAACGGGUGAGUAACACGUGAGUAACCUGCCCUUGACUUUGGGAUAACUUCAGGAAACUGGGGCUAAUACCGGCUAGGAGCUCCUGCUGCAUGGUGGGGGUUGGAAAGUUUCGGCGGUUGGGUAUGGACUCGCGGCUUAUCAGCUUGUUGGUGGGGUAGUGGCUUACCAAGGCUUUGACGGGUAGCCGGCCUGAGAGGGUGACCGGCCACAGUGGGACUGAGGUACGGCCCAGACUCCUACGGGAGGCAGCAGUGGGGAAUAUUGCACAAUGGGCGGAGGCCGGAUGCAGCAACGCCGCGUGCGGGAUGACGGCCUUCGGGUUGUAAACCGCUUUCGCCUGUGACGAAGCGUGAGUGACGGUAAUGUGUAAAGAAGCACCGGCUAACUACGUG
rnacentral:rRNA from 1 species